rnacentral:tmRNA from 1 species
GGGGCUUCAACGGUUUCGAUGUGUCGGCGAAAGCUGAUCCAUGAUCCAGGCCGAGAGUGAGUCUUCUCUCGUAAAUACCAGGCUCGAAAGAAAGUAAAGGCGAACAACAUCGUUCCUUUUGCUCGUAAGGCUGCCACUGUUGCUGCCUAAUAACCUCUAAUCAGGUUCGAGCGUCUGUAGGCUGACUCCGUUAAAGUCUGCAGACAUAACCCCAACGGAUGCUCUAGCAAGAUUCCUUUGGUUGCUUGCUAGCUAAGACUUAACCAAAGAAUCCUAUCAUCCGGGAUAAUGGAUGAUUCCCGCUCUGAGGGUAAGAAGAGCUAAGCCUGUGAAUGAGUGGAAGGUGAAUACCCGGCGCAGACAUGGGUUCGACUCCCAUAAGCUCCAUAA